UCCUCCACUGCGGUGGCCUCCGCACUCGCUGCUCACCGUUGUCGCAUCCUAACUCGUUCUUCUCUCUUACAGUGAAGACUUGUAGUGGGUACAAGGCACCGUAGCUUGCUACUGCGCAAGCUCGUGCGCCGUACGUGUGCGUGUCGGGCUACCCUGUUUGCGUGCGCUGAUAGAGAGAGCGUCACCCAGGUGGAGUGUGAACCUUUCGCCUUUCCUUUUUUUGUUUGUGUGUGUUUUGUCGCUGUGACUCGGGCGUCGUUCUCUUAUCGCGGGGAAGGGGCCGACACACGCGCGCAGCGCCCACGCGUGUCCUCCGCACGAGCCGCACGCCCCGUCUUUUCUUUCGCUCUUUGACGGCAUCACCUGCUAUUUCUCGUUCGCCGUCGGCGGGAUGGGCAAAGGCGCGCGAUCGAAGCGCAGCACGCGCCCGUACGCGAAGAGGCAGCACGUGCUGGAGAGCAAGGCGCAGGAGGUGGACCCGGCGUUGCUGGAGCGUUACCGCAACACACAGCAACCGAUUCGUAAGUCGCAGCUCUUCACUGAGAUCUUGAAGCAGAAGAAGGACACGAAGCGAGCGCGUCGCGAGUCUCGCGAAAACGAACGCCGCCACCUCAAAGAUAAGGCACCUGUCAAGGCGACCCCCAAAACGAAGGAGCGCAAGCGCAGAGCCGAUGUCACCAUCAUUGAGAACAAGGAAGACGCUGAGAUCAUCAAUGACGAGGCCGACGACGAGUUUGCUGCAUUCUUUCGCGACCGCAAGAACCCCAAGACGCUCAUCACCACUGGCGAGCACCCGUGCUUCCGCACCAAGCAGCUCGUAAAGGAGCUCCUGUGGCUGGUGCCCAACAGCAUCUACCGCCCGCGCAAGUCGUACACACUGAAGGAGAUUACUCUGUUCUGCUGCAAUCGCGAGUUCACAGACCUCCUUGUCGUGACGGAUCGCAUUAAGGAGCCGUACAACUUGAUCGUCUCGCACCUCCCCGAGGGGCCGACGGCCACCUUUCGCGUUUCCAACUUUUUAAGCUACACCCAGCUGGAGGACCCUGCGCCGCGGACGGAGCACUACCCGGAGCUCAUCUUCAAGAACUUUGACACGCGACUCGGACGCCGCAUCUCCCGCAUGCUGGAGUGCCUCUUUCCCGCCACUCGAGACUACGCUGGCCGCGCCGUCGCGACGUUUCACAAUCAGCGCGACUACAUAUUUCUCCGCACUCACCGCUACAUCUUCGACGGCCUUGAGGCGGUGCGUCUGCAGGAGAUGGGCCCGCGCUUCACGCUGCGCCUCCUAUCGCUGCAGUCGGGCACGUUCGACCGGCAGUUUGGCGAGUACGAGUGGUACCGCAAGAAGGAGCACGACGCCGACACCCUCGAGUGGUACAUGUAGGCGCGCAGGAACACACACACCCAUGGACGUAGUCUGAGAGACGCACGCACUGCAGCUCGCGCUCACUCCGUCGACGAGGAAGCAGCAGGAGCGUGUGUGCGUGCGUGUAAAGGGGCGUCAUAUUAAACACGAUUAACGCGGGAGUGGAGUGGAGGGGGGAGGCACUGCCGUGCUCCUUACACCCACUCCCUCCAACCCCCCUCUUACACGUCAAGCAAACAACCAUAACGUAAACGAAAUACACGCGAAGGAGGAAGCCGGGAAGAUGGCGCCGGCGCCGGCGCCGUGCGGCGUGUGCGGGUGCUGCGGCAGCAGCAGGGAGACGAGGAUGACCUGUACCCUCCCCUCGCCUCCGUACAAACAGGCGAGAGAAGAGCGCAAG
rnacentral:misc_RNA from 1 species